rnacentral:rRNA from 1 species
AUUCGUGAUCAGCAUGCAGUCGAGGAGAUCUUGUAUUGCUUUAAUUUAGUGGCGGACGGGUUAUAACACGUGAAACCUACUUUAACAGGAAUACCCAUGAAACGUGGAUUAAUGCCUGAUAUCUCUACGGAGUAAAUGAUGCCUUCGGGUGUCGCUAAAGGAUGGGCUCGCGGCCUAUCACUUGUUGGUGAGGUAAGGCUCACCAGGCGACACGGGUAGCUGGUCUGAGAGGACAUCACACACUGGAACUGAACACGGCCAACCCUACGGGGGCAGCAGUCGGGAAUCUUCACAAUGGAGGCAACUCUGAUGGUGCAACGCCGCGGGAGGAUGACGGCCUAGGAUUGUAAACUCCUGUCAUUGGGGAGUAAGACUUAUGCGUUAAUAGCGUGUAAGUUUGAUAGUACCCAAAGAGGAAGGGACGGCUAACUUCGUGCCAGCAGCCGCGGUAAUACGAAGGUCCCAAGCGUUGUUCGGAAUCACUGGGCGUAAAGCGUGUGUAGGCUGCGCGAAAGUCAAUGUGAAAGCCCGGGGCUCAACCUCGGAACUGCAUUCGAUACUCCCGUGCUAGAGUAAUGGAGAGGUAAGUGGAAUUCCCGGUGUAGCAGUGAAAUGCGUGGAUAUCGGGAGGAACAUCAAUGGCGAAGGCAACUUACUGGACAUUUACUGACGCUCAGACACGAAGGCUAGGGGAGCGAAAGGGAUUAGAUACCCCUGUAGUCCUAGCAGUAAACGGUGCUCGCUUGGUGUGGAGGAUUCGACCCCUUCUGUGCCGGAGCUAACGCGUUAAGCGACCGCCUGGGAAGUACGGUCGCAAGACUAAAACUCAAAGAAAUUGACGGGGACCCGCACAAGCGGUGGAGUAUGUGGCUUAAUUUCGAUGCAACGCGAAGAACUUACCAGUUGACUGCUUGUCGUACUCUCCCGAAAAGGAGAGUCACUUCGGGCAUGCACGGCUGCAUCGUCAGCUCGUGUCGUGAGAUGUUUUAUCGCAAGCGCCACCCACUGGCCGUAAGGAACUCUGACUGCCAGUCACUGUGAAGAACCACAG